AUAUAUACAUGGAAGAUUUACAAAAGUGAACUUUUCUUCUAUCUUCUCCAUUCUUCUUACAAACAAAUAACUACUACAAAGUAGUGUUCAUUUGGAAUUUUUUGUGAAUUGCUAUCACGAAUUAUUCACCAAGGCUUGACAUAUAUCCUGGAGGUAUAUCGUCUGCAACCCAUAGCAAACCGAUCGUGGUGGGGGCGAUAAAGACCUUAAGGACAGGGAUCACCCGUGUCACGUCUUCUACAACAAUCUUGAUUCUACGAAGCUACGGUUCUAACAAUCUUAAGGUCUUUAUGUAUUUGUUAAAGUCAUGAUUUUGGUGAGAUGGAAGACAACACGGUUUUCAAAGAUAAGUGUCAUUUUUCGUGUAUCUAUUUUAUCAAUGGAUUUUUUAUGAUAAUUAGUAAUAUAUUGAGAUAUUAAGCUAAUUAUUUUAUUGAUAAUUCCUGUUAGAAGAUGGAUUGUGAAAAAAAUGAAAGUGAAAAAGAUUACAAUUUACAUGUUUGUAAAUUGAUGUGGAGAAGAUGAAGAGUCAUCAUGGAAAAACACCAAAUGUUGAUGCUUAGAAAUCUUUCAAGAGAUUAUGUCGUUCUACGGAUUUAAUUCCAAAAGGUGUGUUUCUUAACAUUAGCCUUUAUUUUUAUAAAUGAUAAUUGUGUAUCAUUUUCUCUGUGUAUAUACUUGAAAGUAUAUGUUUUAUUUAUUAUAUUAUGUGUAGAUGAUAUUAUAUGUUUGAGUAUUAUUUUACCUACAUUUUGUUGUAAUAAAUUAUUUAAUUAGUUUUGUGGUAUAAGAAAAAUAAUUAAUUUUUUGUUCAUGAUGGAAUAAAUUUAAUUGUGUGCAUAUAUAUAUAUAUUUUGGUUGUAAUAUUUUAUGAGUAGAUAAAAUAUUAUGAUGUGUGUGUAUAUAUAUAUGUAUGAGAUUUGAGAUAAUUAUUUUCUUAUAUACUAAUUGAGAUUAAUUUAUUAAGAGAAAGUUGUAGUAAAAUUUGAGAAGUUUACUUGUCUCUAUGUAUAACAAAUUAGUUGUAAAUUAAUUUAUUUUGAGAAUAAAGUAAAUUUAUGUUCUUCUUGAACAAAAUUAUGCAUAUAAAUUUGAGGUAAUAUUUAGUAUGUAAUGUUACUUGGUAUUUGUAUGCAUGAAUUUUGAGAAAGAUUACUUUGUUUGUGGAUAAUAAAUUAAUUAUAAACUAAUAGUUAGAAGAGAUAUUGUAGAAGUAGAUUUAGUUGAAGUAAAUCUUAUAUACAAUAUGAUUUUGAUGUUGAGAAAACACUUAGAAAUGAUAUUUGUAGUGUUUUUGGAAUAAUCAUAAUUGGUAUAUGUUGAUUUAUUUUUAUGUGUACUUGUUCAAGAAGUAGUAAAUUUUAAUGUGAUCAUAUGAAUUUUGUAUAUUCUAAUUGAGAUAAACAUUUUAUUUUUUUGAAUUUUUAUAAAUAUAGUGAAGUUCAAGUAUUUCAUAUUAUUAUGAGAAUUAUCUUGAAUUCUAUAUUGUAAAUGUUAAAACUUAAAAGAUAUAAUGUUUAUGAUAUUUCCUAUCCAAGUUGGGACAAGAAAAUACUUGAGGAUAUACUAAUUCAUGUGUGUGAAUUUUAUUUGCUUUCUACAUAAAUUAAUUUCGUUUGUGAUAAAUUAAUUUCUUUAAAAGUAAAUAUAAAUUUUUAUAUUUUAUGAUUUAUAUGCAAAUAAAUUUGUGCAAUAUGAUGAGUUGUGCUAUAACUUGUAUAUAAUGAAUUUUAUACUAUUUACAUAGAGUCGAGUGUUACGUGUUGAUAUACUUGAAAAUUGUACAUGUAUAAUUUUAAGUGCUUAUAUUAAAUAAUUUUUUAGAUUUGAGAUUUUAUGUAAUUCAGAAAAUAAGAGCUUGUUUUCUUAUGUGGGGGUGUUCUAAAAGAUUCUUAAGUUGAAGCAAUCUUUAUAUGAAUAACUAAUACAUAAAAUGUAAAAGAACUUAUUUUUUAUUUUGAGAAGUGUUCCUUAAUAUUCUCAUGUGGAAGUAAUAUUUAUAGGAACAUUGUCACAUAAAAUGUCAAUUAAUCUAAAAUUUAUCUUAAGUGGUGAGCAUAAUAUUGUGAAGUGAAAUUAUUCAAUGAGAUUUCAAUUAUUUAAAAGUGUGGGGGUGAUUCUUUAAGAUUUUUAUUUAUAGACUAUAUUUGGCCUUUGAACUAUUUGGAGCAUAAUUUUAUUUAUGUAAAAAAUAGUAAGGCUUAUGAAUUUCUUGUUGCGAAAUUCAAUUUGAUUGCGUAGUUCUGUGAAAUGAAAGUCUUUUAAACACAAAUUUUUGAAUAAUAUUGAAGUGGGAACUUAUUUUAUUAGCCUAAAUAUGAUCCAAAAUAUUUAUAGUGAUUUAGUUCAAUAGUGAGUUUGAAACUAAGUUAUAAAUAUUAAAGUGGAUACAUAUUAGGUGAUAAUAUGUGCAUAUUUACCUUGGGAUUCUAUCGGAUAUAGAAUUAUUUAUAUGUUUACACUAACAAUAUAAUUGUAUAAACUAUAAUGUGAUAGUUUUGUGUAUAUUAAUGAUAUGUUGAUCAUUUUACAUAGUAUUGUUAACGUAAAUGAGUAGUUUAAGAAAUAUCUAUUUUUGUCUUUAUGUUGAAAGACUUGUAAAAUUGAUGUUAUCUUAGUAUUAUGUGAAAACAUAGUGAAAAUUUCAACAAAACCAGUUUAAUAGUAUUGAGACGCAAUACUGAACUAAGUUUGACAAACCUUGAGAUUGAAGAAUUUAAUAAUUCUUUAAUAGUGGUGCUAUACUGGAAGUUAAUUCUGAUAUAGCUAUUGUAAAUCUGAAGUACAUAUAUGCUAGUGGGGGUCUUAUGUUUGAUAUGCAAUGCACAAGAUCAGAUAUUACCUACAGUUUUAAACUUAGUAUAUUAAUGAUUUAAAAUUGGUUUUUGUUAGAUUUUUCAAUGUUUUAAUAGAUCACAUAAAUGUCACUUAUAUUUUAGUGAGGGAAAUUUUAAAUUUACAAGUAGGUGAAUUUUCACCCAAUCUUGGGUAUUGUUUCUUAGAUGAGAAAGAAAUAAAUGAGUAUUUCUCAUUUCACAAAAUGGAUCUAAUGUUAUUAAUCGUUCAUGGUUGUGAUCUUGAUUAAUUAAGUAAGAAAAUAUUCACAAGUAGGUGAAUAUAUUCUUAUAUUUCCACAAGUAGGUGGAUAUAUUAUUACUCUUUGUGAAGGGUAUAAUUUACUUGGAGUAGUAAGUAAUACUAUUGCUUUAUAUGACGAAGAAAGCAAAUGGAAUCGAAAUUUGUUGUUAAAACAUCAAAUUGUGGUCACUUCCAUUGCUUAGUUCAUUAUGAUGUGAUAAUGAAAUUGUUUUGUAUAUAGCAUAUGAGAUUACCUUUUAUGGUAAGUCAUGACAUGUUGGUCAUAGACAUAAUUUUUGUUAGAUAAUUAAUACAAGAAGGUAUUAUAAUAUUUAUCUACGAGAAAGUCAAGUGACGACUUGACUUAUCUUUUUACUAAGACUUUGACGAAAUCUUAGUAAGUUUAACUACUUGUGAUAUGAAACUUAAACCACUUUGAGUUAGGGGUGAUGGGAACCCAACAUAUUCCUAGGUUACCCCUAGUUUAUAGGUUCAAUGGGAAAAACAAGUCACAUUUACUGACUGUGUUACUAUCGAUGUGGUUCCAUAUGUAGUUUAAGAUAGUAACGUCUGUUGCACGACCGAGACUGAGUUAUACUCUUAACAAAGUUGUUGUGUUCUUAGCAACAGAAACACUUGUGAAACACUUUGCCUAUAUAAACUAGAAGUGGAGCCGCUUCUUAUAGAGGGUUGUGGUUUACUCUCUUAGAGGUUCAUGAAACAGGGUAUUGUGCAUGGCCAUAUUAGCGAAAAGCAAUUGAGAAUACUCACCGUGGUAGAAGGAUUUUGUGUGUGUGUGUGACAAUUCCGGUCANNNNNNNNNNNNNNNNNNNNNNNNNNNNNNNNNNNNNNNNNNNNNNNNNNNNNNNNNNNNNNNNNNNNNNNNNNNNNNNNNNNNNNNNNNNNNNNNNNNNUACACUAAGGGAAUGUUCAAUGUUCGUCACACAUUCUUUUAUGCACACAUGCCUUGGAGUUGUUUGAUAGAAAGUUGUUUGGAUGAAAAGUAGUUUUUCCAAACAAGUGGGGGAUUGAUAGAAGAUUGUUUGAUAAAACUAUUUUUCUUUAGUUUCAUUUAAUAGAAGUUUAUUUUAUUUUGGAACAAAAGAAAAAUAGUGAGACUAUUCAAAUUCUAUUUAACUAUUAAUUAUUACUAAUAUGUAACUUACAUAAUUAGUACUAAUAAGUAUAGUUAAAUAUAUAAUUGAAUAGUUAUAAUGUAACUUAUAUAUAUAUAUAUAUAUAUAUAUAUAUAUAUAUGUGUGUAUGUUUGUGUAUAUAUAGAUAUAUGUAUACAUAAGAGAUAUGUAUAUGAUAUAUAGAGAAGUUACAUGGACGAUUUACAAAAGUGAACUUUUCUUCUAUCUUCUCCAUUCUUCUUACAAACAAAUAACUACUACAAAGUAGUGUUCAUUUGGAAUUUUCUGUGAAUUGCUAUCACGGAUUAUUCACCAAGGCUUGACAUAUAUCCUGGAGGUAUAUCGUCUGCAACCCAUAGCAAACCGAUCGUGGUGGGGGCGAUAAAGACCUUAAAGACAGGUAUCAUCCGUGUCACGUCUUCUACAACAAUUUUGACUCUACGAAGCUACGGUUCUAACAGUGAUGAACAUGUUUGUGAAACUGUGUUUGCUGAGUUUUAUAUAAAGAUUUUGUUUUGGAAUCAAUAGAGAUAGAGAGGUUAUUGUGUAGUCAAGAUGAUGGGAUGCUACUGCAAUGGUCUUUGUUGGAUUUAGAAACAGAUUUGUUGAAUGUGGAUUGCAUUAUGACUUGUUUGUUGGAUUUAGAAACAGAUUUGUUGAAUGUGGAUUGCAUUAUGGCUUGGUUUUAGAAUGUUGGGUGUGGGUGUGGGUGUGGGUGUGGGUGUGGGUGUGGUGUGGUGGGGUGGGGUUAUUGGGGUUUGAGGAAAUAGGUUUGGCUCAAUUAUGUUUUUGUUGGUAGUUUAUAUUUAGAAAAAUUGUAUGCUUGGUAUUUGAAAUUUUAGUAUUGGAUAAAAUUUGGAAUGUGAUUAAUAUUAUGUUUUGGUGUGUCAUUUAUGCAAUGGCGGAACCAGAACGAUAUUAAAGGGGGGUCAAAAAUUUUAAACCAAGCGGGUCGAAAUUAUUAAUACCACCACUUGCUUCGGAACUUAGUAACUGAUUAUUAGAAGAAUCAAUAGUUUUUUGUCAUUUAAUCAAGUACUUGCGGAACUUGUUAAUUGUUAAAAAUAUAUGAUAUUCUAUUUGUUCUAAAAUAUAAGACUAAAAUGAGCUUUUAAUUAUUUUGUUCAAACUAAACUGGUAAACUGCAUUGGAAGAGCUAGCUAGCAAGUGGGCCGUGAGUGUUUGAUUGUUGAAAAAUUCAAUAGCAGAAGCAUUCCCUUAGGCCUUAGCUUAAAAUAUGAAAGGAAAUUAAAAGCGAGCUAGUACAUUAAAUUAUAGAAUUGUUACUUUAUUCUGAUAAAUAAACAUAAUUAAUAUAUUCAGCAAACAGAAAUUAAACAAUAAUUUAAGAUUACUCUAACAGUAAUAAUUUUGAAAACUAAAUUACUAAACAGGAAAUUUGGUCUAAGAAAUUAUCCACCAAAGUUUAACCAAUAUAAAGAAUAAGUAGUCCAUGUUACUACACUCGACCACACUAAAUAAAAGCAAUAGCUUGUUAUUGACUAAUUACUCUACAAUUACACACUGUAACUCCUAACAACUGUAUAAAAAUGGAGUCCUGGUCUGCAGUCUGAAACUUUUAACCCCUAAAUCUUAGUCUAAUUUACUGUUUUUUGCCAAACUGGUUGUACGAUUGAAUGAAGGAGCUAAAAAAGAAAAGAAAAAGAAAAGUUCAUAGUUUGUUGUGAGAAGGGAGAAAAGACAGAGGAAGGUAAAAGAUGGGUGUUUCUUAGAGACAUUUAAUCUUCUUCUCAGAUCCCAUUUCUAUCUGUAAAUCAAAGGGUUUGUAGAUCUGCUGGCUAAUUUUCCAUUUCCGGCUUAGUUUCUUUCUGGGUAUUUGAUUUUUUUUCGAACUGUNNNNNNNNNNNNNNNNNNNNNNNNNNNNNNNNNNNNNNNNNNNNNNNNNNNNNNNNNNNNNNNNNNNNNNNNNNNNNNNNNNNNNNNNNNNNNNNNNNNNUAAAAUUUGGAAUGUUAUUAAUAUUAUGUUUUGGUGUGUCAUUUAUGAAUGUAAACAUUAUAGAUAGUACAAAUGUAUGUAUCUGCAGUUUUUAAAUAAAGGUGGAUUUGAUUUUGUUGUUGCAUGUUUAUGUUCUUUUGGAAUCAUUUGAGUGUGCAUUGCAUGGAUUUUGUUAUUAAACUUUAUUUGGUUUAGAUUUGGCAAGAUAUGCAUUACACUUGGUGAGGAAAUGAAGGCGGACUGAUGUGUGGAAUAAAUUUGUGGUUUGGUGAAAUUGUUAUUUUUUGUUGAUGUGUUAAAUGUUUGUGAUGUGCAUGCUUACAAUUUGAGAGCUAAUAUUAAUAAAGAAUUUGAGGAUUUGAUUAGUGUUGCAAUGUCAUUGAUUCACUCUACAGUGACUCAAUAAAAACUAAAAUAAAAAACAUGUUUACGUUCUCUCUCUAAACUCAUAAAUCUCUCAAAUGACUCUUGAAGCUCUAAAUGCACCAUUUUGUUUCGUUCUUCUUCAGAUCAAGAACAUAGAAUAUAAUUAUAAUUAUAAUUUUUUUAUUUAUAUAUUAUAUACAAAAUUGUGCGUACAUACGUAUAUGAUAAUUGUUUGGAAAAAAGCACUUUUACCCCACUGUGGUCGUCGUGUUUUAAGCAAUUAGCCACCGUGCUUUAAAAAUAUUUAAUUGACCCACUGUGAUUUUUAAAAAUGUAUAAUCAAGUCAUUCCGUCCAAUUUCUUGGACGGACGUCAAAUAAUUACACACGCGACAUUGAAUUUUUUUUUCAAAAAAUCAUUAUUUUCUGAUGUGGAAACACAAAAAUAAUAAUAAAAUAAAAUCAUUGAUUAUGUGGCAAAAAAUAAUUAAAAUAAAUACUUUAAUUCAUUUUUUAAUAAUUUUUUUAUUUUCUAUUUUCUUUCUCCUUCAAAAUGAAUAAAUAAGCCUAAAAUAAAACAAUAAAUAAAAAUAUAAUGUUGCUAUGUACAUGAUUAUAUUUGACGGUAUAAGACCAAAAUUUUUAAAAAAAAUUUAGACAAAAAAGAAAUAAUACAAAUUACAAACGUAACUCAUUAAAACAUUAUUUAUACUCAUUUUUUUUUCUAAUUAAUUCAAACUUAAAUCUACUGUUCAUCUUCUUCCUCACCAAAAUUGAAACCUGGACGUCGACCCAACACCACCAAUUGCCUACUCAAAGCCAUGGAAUCCGGCCAAAACAACCCAGAAAGAGCUCUCAAUGGUGACGAUGGUGUCUUAGCUUCUCAAACUCGUCGGCAUUGGGUUUUUGGAUGACAACGAUGGUGUCUUGGCGAAUUGCCAUCGGCAAAACCGAAUAGCCCUCAUAGUCUAUGUGCUCCCCAAUCAAAUUCACUUGUCCCGUCGAUCGUGCGUAGAUAUCCAGCGGAUUACCGAAGCAUUCAAUAAACUUGGAUUUCACCUUCUCGAAUCGAAGCUGAGCUUCUUCUAAUUGUGAUUCUCCUCCAUAAACUGGGUCCAAAUUUGAAUAGAUAGGAACUAGAAGGUCUUCGUGUCUCGCCAUUGUUUUGUUGUGAAAAAUCUUUCUAUAAAACAGAACCAAAAAUGAUUAGAGAAUUCUGGUGAUAACAUACAAUUGAUUGUUUUUGGAUUUGGGGGAAAUAGGAUAUGGAUUAACAAAUUUUUGAUUUAGGAUAGAUCCUUUUACGAGUAUUUUAAAACAUAAAAGUAUUUUUAUUUUUAUUUCUAAAAUAAAACAUACAUAUUAUAAAUAUUAUAAUAUUAAUUUUUAUUAAUAUUAUACAUAUUAUAAAUAUUUAGUUAAAGAAAAUAAAACAUAAAAAUAUUUUUAUUUUUAAAAUUUUUAUAAGUAUUUUAAAACAUUAAAGUAUUUUAUUUUUAUUUUUAAAAUAAAACAUACAUAUUAUAAAUAUGAUAAUAUUAAUUUUUAUUAAUAUUAUACAUAUUAUAAAUAUUUAGGUAAAGAAAAAGAAAGAAAAUAAAAUAUAAAAAUAUUUUUAAAACCACAGUGAGCCAAUUACAUUUUUUUAAAGUGCAGUGGCUCAAUAGUAUUACGAAUUUGGCUGACUGGCUUGCCACGUAGGAAAUAACUUGUUUUAUUAUUAUUUUUCAAAAGCCACGUAGAAAAAUUGGUCUAAUUUUUUAACGUCUAUUAGUCAAAUUUGACGGAAUGACUUGAUUGUACAUUUUUAAAAACCAUAGUGGGCUAAUUGAAUAUUUUAAAAGCACAAUGACUAAUUGCUUAAAACACUACAACCACAGUGGGUCUUUUUGCCAUAAUUGUUUGCUUACUGUUUACAUAUAAGAUUUAAAUUUUAGACAAUUCUUUGAAAAAGGUAUUAUACUACAGUGAGUGCAGUAUGUCGGAGAGAUGAAUGUCUUCGGGUUCGAGCGACGAUAAUGAAUGUCUUCGAGUUCGGGAAUGUUUUGGAGUUUGGCCUCGGAACGGAUGACUUCGGGAGUUAAACAGAUGUCUUCGGCUUCGGAACGAAUAAC
rnacentral:lncRNA from 1 species